AGUAAGUAAAUUAAUCAAGUAGAACUGUGGGUAAUGACUCCUGUCAUAUUCAGUGAAUCCAAACAAUACAUUUUUCCAAAGCAGUGAUAUAAAGUGAGGGUAGAUAGUUCAAAGUUCAAUGUAAGGCACCAGCUAUGGAACCGGUCCAAUAAUUUACUGACUAUUGAACCUGAACGGGAUUCUGUGCCUGUAGCCCACAGGCUGUUGGUCCAGACUGGUUUUCCGUGAUAAUAAUUUGUUCUAUUAUGGGUUUUCGGCUUAACUGGGCAUUUUUUACGUUUAAUGGCAUUUUAGUGCUGUUAAACGGGACAUUUUAUCGCAUUUUAGCCUUUUAACCAAAACCAUGAUCUUUCCCUAAUCAUACCCAAGUGGUUUGUGUGCCUAAAUCUAACCAUUUUAAAUCAAACCAUGGGAAGGAUUAGAGUAUUACCUGCAAGCAAAAACAUUCCUCCAUUUUGAAAUAAUUUGAAUUUGAUCACGUGAUCUUGUGCAAUGAAUGCCAAUGCGCAGGAAUAAUAAUUGCCUACCAACCAUAGGUACCAACAAUCGCCACUUCCUUAAUGACACGACUGACCAGAGAGAAGAUCCAACAGUAUCUGAUUGUGAGUGUUUAGGACAGAGAGAAGUCUUCUUUGACAUCUGAAGCGGCACAUGAUGAAAGUGAAAUCACUAGCACCACAGGCAGUGGACAGCGCCGAGCAGCGCGGUGACACCUGCAGCUGCAGCUCAGCACCGACAUCACUGUGGGAAAUAAAUCUUCCCAGACUAAAGCCAUAAAGACUCUUUAUGAAGGUGAUGAAAGUUGCUCAAAACAUCUUUAGAUGCGACCAUAUUUGAGUUAAAACGCGACUCUUCGUUUUGAAGCAACUCCAGAUAGUUUAGUCUAUCUUGUCUUUCACUUCAAACACCAUAUGUUUGCCCCUUUUUGCCAGCCAGUGCAAGCCAUGGCUCACAUACACCUGUGUAGUGUCAUACAGGUGCGUGUGGUCUGUAUAUUCUGUCCACUCCACUGAUGUGUAUAGUCCAAAUAAGCCAUGAUUACGUUACGUGUGAAUAUGGCGUUGUGGACUUUAAAACACAUUUUAAACAAUUGAUUUCCCUGAUGGAAAAUCAAUCCAGAUGGGAGAUUAAAUAGUUGUAGACAUACUCUCAUUUUGAUUGAUUGCUUAGGUUUAAACUCCUGUUUGCUACACAGAAAAUAUGCCGUGCAGCCUUAUAAGUGAGUUAUGUUAGAUUAAAGAAUUAAUUUAGCAGAGUACUCGUAGCAUCAUGAUAGCGCACAGAUCAAUUGAAAGAAAUGUCUUCAUAAACUUUAGGGAAGUUUACCAAGAUGUCAGGUUACAUCAGUAUUCCUCAAACAGAGCUCGGUGGGUUUCUAGACAGCGUCUAUACAGUGUGCGCUGUAGACUCAAUGGAGUCCACAUACUGUAUACAUUGAGCUAGCAUGUGCCCUCUUGUGGCUGAAUUUAUGCAUGCAUGUUUAGCAGUAAUGCACACUGUAUGUAUGCAGGGUUUGGUAGCAGCAUAUCACGUCUAACUGGAUUACAGUUACAUGCAAUUACAUGCAAAUUAAUUACAUAGCAACAAUAUGGUAACUGUAAUGAGUUACAGUUAUUAAGGAAAACAGAGUAAUCAGAUUAAAGAUGCUUUUUCAGCUACUUUUUGGAUUAGACCUGCUCCAAACAUGGUGUAGAGGUGAAAAGACUGGUGGUGACAGCUGGUGACAUAGAGGACACAUGUUAAAACACUUAAUGUUAAUCAUGGAAUGCAUGAUGUUUGUUGUCAUACUCUUAUAAUCUGCACAUUUCAAGUAAAAUAUUUAAUGAUUAAAUAUGAUCAGGUAUGGAAAUCCAUAGGAUGCCAUAUGAUGGGAUAUGUUUGAUCAAGUAAAGGAAAACAUAGCCAGGAUGACAACAUUUUUAAACAAACUGACUAAAAUGUUUUCAACCAUGAUCCAAAAAUGAUAUGAUUAUUUAUUUGUUUUGUAUUGUUAUGCAUGUAUGUUAUAUUUUAAUAUAAAUAAACAAGAAAAAACUAUGAAUACAAAUAUGUGAGAUCUGAGAACAUUUACUUGUAAAAUGAUGACAGUAAGAAAUAAAUGUCAACAUUUAUUUCAUAAAGAGCUGGAUUGUAUCAUACAUAUGUUGUGAUUUCAAAGCAAAAACACCACUUUAGCGGAUCCCUGCAGAAUUU